ensembl:lncRNA
UCUAAGCAGUGUCUCUUUCCACUGUCCGGUUAACUUUUUGGUGUUCAAAAAAUGCGAUGACGUCACACUGUCAGAGGUACUGCUUUACGGCAGUUUCUGAAUCACUUCGGCACUUCCUUUUUCCCCGCCACGUGGAGUGCUAGCUGAUAUCAGCUGACUGGAUGCUGGCUGUCGGCUGAUUAUCAGCUAUGUAGCCUAGCCAAUUUAUGGUGGCUAUUGAAAAGUAAAAGAACGGAAUAAUUUGAAGACCGCUCCAUCUAGCUCCCUCCACAGCCAGACACAGCAACGAUCCUCCAGCUCCAUUCAGGCCGUGAAGGUGGACAGCUUUCUCUGAGCUGCUUUGGCCGUUUGCUGUUUGCUCAGCC